rnacentral:rRNA from 1 species
CGUACACUCCUACGGGAGGCAGCAGUAGGGAAUCUUCCACAAUGGGUGCAAACCUGAUGGAGCAAUGCCGCGUGAGUGAAGAAGGUCUUCGGAUCGUAAAGCUCUGUUGUUAGAGAAGAACACGUGCUAGGUAACUACUAGCGCCUUGACGGUAUCUAACCAGAAAGUCACGGCUAACUACGUGCCAGCAGCCGCGGUAAUACGUAGGUGACAAGCGUUGUCCGGAUUUAUUGGGCGUAAAGGGAGCGCAGGCGGUCUGUUUAGUCUAAUGUGAAAGCCCACGGCUUAACCGUGGAACGGCAUUGGAAACUGACAGACUUGAAUGUAGAAGAGGAAAAUGGAAUUCCAAGUGUAGCGGUGGAAUGCGUAGAUAUUUGGAGGAACACCAGUGGCGAAGGCGAUUUUCUGGUCUAACAUUGACGCUGAGGCUCGAAAGCGUGGGGAGCGAACAGGAUUAGAAACCCCAGUAGUCCCA